rnacentral:rRNA from 1 species
UAGAGUUUGAUCAUGGCUCAGAUUGAACGCUGGCGGCAGGCUUAACACAUGCAAGUCGAGCGGGGGAAGUUGCUUCGGUAACUGACCUAGCGGCGGACGGGUGAGUAAUGCUUAGGAAUCUGCCCAUUAGUGGGGGACAACAUCUCGAAAGGGAUGCUAAUACCGCAUACGUCCUACGGGAGGCAGCA